CCUGGUGGCUCAGACGGUAAAGCAUCUGCCUACAGUGCAGGAGACCUGGGUUCGAUCCCUGGGUCAGGA
rnacentral:tRNA from 1 species